rnacentral:sRNA from 1 species
GUCUGCACUUGUCGGGGAAGGGUGAGAACCUUCGAUUAAGGUUCGACUCGAGCGAAAGCGAGAGAACGUUGCCAACGGCAACGGCCCGUAGGGUGAGGAGCGAAGCGACGAAUAAUCCUUCCCCCA